rnacentral:rRNA from 1 species
AUUGAACGCUGGCGGCAUGCUUUACACAUGCAAGUCGAACGGUAACAGGCCUUCGGGUGCUGACGAGAGGCGAACGGGUGAGUAAUGCAUCGGAACGUGCCCAGAGGUGGGGGAUAACGCAGCGAAAGCUGUGCUAAUACCGCAUGUGAUCUGAGGAUGAAAGCGGGGGACCAGGCAGCAAUGUUUGGCCUCGCGCCUUUGAAGCGGCCGAUGUCAGAUUAGGUAGUUGGUGGGGUAAAGGCCUACCAAGCCGACGAUCUGUAGCUGGUCUGAGAGGACGACCAGCCACACUGGGACUGAGACACGGCCCAGACUCCUACGGGAGGCAGAAGUGGGGAAUUUUGGCCAAUGGGCGCAAGCCUGAUCCAGCAAUGCCGCGUGAGGGAAGAAGGCCUUCGGGUUGUAAACCGCUUUUGUACGGAACGAAAAGGCUCUGGCUAAUACCUGGGGCUGAUGACGGUACCGUACGAAUAAGCACCGGCUAACUACGUG